rnacentral:rRNA from 1 species
UACAGAGGGGGCAAGCGUUAUUCGGAAUUAUUGGGCGUAAAGAGCUCGUAGGCGGUUUGUCGCGUCUGCCGUGAAAGUCCGGGGCUCAACUCCGGAUCUGCGGUGGGUACGGGCAGACUAGAGUGAUGUAGGGGAGACUGGAAUUCCUGGUGUAGCGGUGAAAUGCGCAGAUAUCAGGAGGAACACCGAUGGCGAAGGCAGGUCUCUGGGCAUUAACUGACGCUGAGGAGCGAAAGCAUGGGGAGCGAACAGG